CGGGUGAGUAACGCGUGAGUAACCUGCCUUACACGAGGGGAUAGCCGUUGGAAACGACGAAUAAUACCCUAUGAAACUAUCACUUCGCAUGAAGCGAUAGUCAAAGUGUUAGCGGUGUAAGAUGGACUUGCGUCUGAUUAGCUAGUUGGUGAGAAAAAAGCCCACCAAGGCAACGAUCAGUAGCCGGCUUGAGAGAGUGUACGGCCACAUUGGGACUGAGACACGGCCCAG
rnacentral:rRNA from 1 species